ACCCUCUCAGGAUUGCACCUGGAGAAUUUCCAGUACUCUACCAGUUUCGGCUACGGGAGGGAGUCGAGCAGAGACAUAUCCAUUCCAUUCCUAGCUUGGCCCAAUGACUAGAGAGUGGAAGGCAAUCUGCUACAAGU